rnacentral:rRNA from 1 species
AUACGUAGGUGACAAGCGUUAUCCGGAUUUACUGGGCGUAAAGGGCGUGUAGGCGGUCUUGCAAGUCAGAAGUGAAAUUCCUGAGCUCAACUCGGGCGCUGCUUCUGAAACUGCAGGACUUGAGUGCUGGAGGGGAUAGCGGAAUUCCUAGUGGAGCGGUAAAAUGCGCAGAUAUUAGGAAGAACACCGGUGGCGAAGACGGCUAUCUGGACAUUAACUGACGCUGAGGCGCGAAAGCGUGGGGAGCAAACAGGAUUAGAGACCCUGGUAGUCCACGCCAUAAACGAUGAAUACUAGGUGUAGGGGGUAUCGACCCCCUCUGUGCCGACGUUAACACAUUAAGUAUUCCACCUGGGGAGUACGGCCGCAAGGCUGAAACUCAAAGGAAUUGACGGGG